GAUGAACGCUGACAGAAUGCUUAACACAUGCAAGUCAACUUGAACUUCGGUUUGGGUGGCGGACGGGUGAGUCACGCGUAAAGAACUUGCCUCACAGCUAGGGACAACAUUUGGAAACGAAUGCUAAUACCUGAUAUUAUGAUUUUAGGGCAUCCUAGAAUUAUGAAAGCUAUAUGCGCUGUGAGAGAGCUUUGCGUCCCAUUAGCUAGUUGGAGAGGUAACGGCUCACCAAGGCGAUGAUGGGUAGCCGGCCUGAGAGGGUGAGCGGCCACAAGGGGAAGGAGCAGCGCCCUUUCCACCGAGGGGAGGCAAAGGGGGGAAAUAUGGGAAAAAGGCCAAAGAGUUUUAUCGAGCAUUUGGGUGGGAAGAAUAAAGUUUUUGGAAAUGAAAAUGUUUUUAAGUUGGAAAAAAAAAAAUGAGGUUACCAAAAAAAGAGGGGAGGGCAAAAACGGUC
rnacentral:rRNA from 1 species